rnacentral:rRNA from 1 species
GGGUGGUAAUGCCGGAUGCUCCGACUCCUCGCAUGGGGUGUCGGGAAAGAUUUCAUCGGUAUGGGAUGGGGUCGCGUCCUAUCAGGUAGUCGGCGGGGUAACGGCCCACCGAGCCUACGACGGGUAGCCGGCCUGAGAGGGCGACCGGCCACAUUGGGACUGAGAUACGGCCCAGACUCCUACGGGAGGCAGCAGUGGGGAAUAUUGCACAAUGGGCGCAAGCCUGAUGCAGCGACGCCGCGUGCGGGAUGACGGCCUUCGGGUUGUAAACCGCUUUUGAUCGGGAGCAAGCCUUCGGGUGAGUGUACCUUUCGAAUAAGCACCGGCUAACUACGUGCCAGCAGCCGCGGUAAUACGUAGGGUGCAAGCGUUAUCCGGAAUUAUUGGGCGUAAAGGGCUCGUAGGCGGUUCGUCGCGUCCGGUGUGAAAGUCCAUCGCUUAACGGUGGAUCUGCGCCGGGUACGGGCGGGCUGGAGUGCGGUAGGGGAGACUGGAAUUCCC